AGUGUGAUACCUAUUCCUGAUUUCCAACCUGACUACACCACUAAGAUGAAGUCACGAGACACGCCUGUGAGGAGUUUCAUUUGAAGUGGGAAGACUCACCUUAAGUCUGGAUCAUUUUUGGUCAGAAGACCCACCUUAAAUCUGGGCCACGCCUUCUUGUAAGAGCCUAUAAAAGCCCAAGGAAGAAAGAAACUUCUGUUCUUGGCCUGCUUGCUCUCAGUCUCAAUUCGCUGGCAUUAGAGCCUACUUCUUCAAGAUUAUGACAUAUACUGAAGAUCUGCUGAGACAUCCAGUGUUGUAGACUGAACAACUACAGGAUUCUUGGACUUACUCACUGAGAGAUGGCAUUAUUGGACUAGGUGGACCACAGCCUGUGCCGAUCUUGGAGACAAGUUGACAAGCCCUAGAGAACUCAUCUUCAGACUUGUUGAUUUUUGUCUUCUCUGCAAUGAUAAUGUGAAAACGACUUCCUGGUGAUUGUCACUGGUCUUCGUGAGGAAAGGAGAGAAAGAGUGGAGGGUUUUGAGUUGUUUGGCAUGGUCUCUUCAUGAAGUAACAGAGGAG